CGCAUCUGUGCAUGCAGCAUAUCAAUAAGCGGAGGAAAAGAAACUAACAAGGAUUCCCCUAGUAACGGCGAGUGAAGCGGGAAGAGCUCAAAUUUGAAAUCUUAAAGGGUUUCCCUUUACGAAUUGUAGUUUAAAGAAGUGUUUUCUGUUGAGGUUUUGGUAAAAGUUCUUUGGAAUAGGACAUCAUAGAGGGUGAGAAUCCCGUAUUUGACCUUUACUUUCAACUUUGUGAUACACUUUCAAAGAGUCGGAUUGUUUGGGAAUGCAGUCCAAAAUGGGUGGUAAAUUUCAUCUAAAGCUAAAUAUUGGCGAGAGACCGAUAGCGAACAAGUACCGUGAGGGAAAGAUGAAAAGAACUUUGAAAAGAGAGUUAAACAGUACGUGAAAUUGUCAAAAGGGAAGCGUUUGACACCAGUGUUGUUUUUCUGAAAAUCAAUUAAAGAACUGUUUAUGCUAAGUUGUUUAGACUUUAUCAGCUAACUGUUUAGUUAUGAGCUUUUCUUUAAAUGCACUUUUCAGUUAACAAGUCAACAUCAAUUUCUUUUGCUGUAAAAAAGCUUGAGGAAGGUGGCUUGAGAUUCGUCUUAAGUGUUUAUAGCCUCUUGCCUAUGCAGUCGGAGAGAUUGAGGUCUGCAGCGUAGAUCCUUCGGGGCUAAAUGCAUUUGUGCUAAGUUAUAGCAUUUUAUAGACAACUUGUUGACUAUGAUUUGUCUUGUAGCUUACUCGCUUAUGUUAUUUUACCUACGCUUAGGAUGUUGAGUCAUCACACAUCUCU
rnacentral:rRNA from 1 species